GCUAACAGUUAGCGCUAACAGUUAGUUCUCACUGUGGACAUCACGAAGAAUCUCACGAAGAAUGAAACGUUGAAUAAUUUGUUUAAUUCUUUAUAAGACAGCUAUAUAUUCAGCGAGGAACGGGAGCAAAUCAAGGAACAAUGGAGACGAUUCAUUCAGAAGAAUAUCUGCUGUAGAUAGUUAGGACAGUAGUAGCGUUACGGACUGUCCUCAGCGCACAAUAUAUUCAUGUGGUGCACCUCAGACGCAAAUUCCUCCAUUAUUAAAAACAAGUUGCUAAAAGUAAACACGUCCGGUUUUGCACUCCGAGCCCAAACGGCAUCGCAUUGAAUUGAGACUAAAGGAGGCUUAAAAACAUGACACCAGUUUUGUUGUAAGGUACGCCCUUCGACUCUCAACCCGAAGUUUAUCAGAACUCAAACUUGGCCCUUAACAAUAUCUGCAAAGCCAGCAUAUCAGCUCAGCUUCUGAGCUUCAGCACCUGCUAAGCAUAGAAGACAAAGGAGUAGUGAAAGGCUCAGCCAAAUCAAAGUCCAGCGAUGUGAGGGGGAGACAGCCUUACCAUGUCCUCGUAUUGCAACAUGAAGGACAUUUUAGCUGAAACUAACAAGGGAGAGAACUGUAGAUCUGCACCAGCACAGAGCACCAGCAUUGAUAUCAAGUUGACCCAGCAACCGCACAAGUCCCGCCUGCAAGAGACCCAGUCCAGAACCACCCUUCCCCGCCCCUGACUUCUAACUCCUCCCCCUUGACCUCCUGACUCAAAAAGUCAGCAGCGUUGAACAACUCCGUUCUGCCGGAAAUUCUGAGCAUAAUUCUGUUCUGAACAAACGCAAUGCCCACGUCAAGUUGUCCACACAUAAGCCUGGGUAGUUUUGUUAAGCUAGAGUUCCGCGUGGGCCUGAAAGGGACGAGUGUUACAGACACGAAAAGUUAAAGAAAAAAAUAGCGGUAGUUAUGGUUACGCUAACAGUCGGUUGUUGCUGUUGGACAUCACAACAAAUAUCAUGAAGAAUAAAAAGUUCAAUAACUUGUUCCAAUCUUUAUGGGACAAACGGAAAUUGAACAGGAGAAAAUCAAGGAACAAUAAAAGCAUUAGCUUUCCUAUGGGAUACUUCGACUGCUGUUGAUAGUUUGGACAACAGUAGGGUUACAGACUGCCCCAGAUUGUCCUCCCAGCGGCCAAAAUAUCAUUAUAGAACGGACUUUUGGCAAUGUUACUAACAAAGAAAGGCAAUAAUGACUUGGUUGUGAAUACCCAGAGCACGAUACAUCCAUGCUGACAAAGAAAGGCGGUAAUGACUUGGUUGUGAAUACGCAGAGCGCGAUACAUCCAUGCUGACACAUAAAGGCAGUAAUGACUUGGCUGUGAACACAGAACACAAUACACCCAUGCUGACACAAAAAGGCAGUAAUGACUUGGCUGUAAAAACAGAGCACAAUACAUUCAUGCUGAAACAGAAAGGCAGUCAUGACUAUGCUGUGAACACCCAGAGGAUAUAUUGAUGCUGACGCAGAAAAGCAGUAAUGAUUAUGCUGUGAACACCUAGAGCAAGAUAUAUCCAUGCUGACACAGAAAGGCAUUAAUGACUAUGCAGUGAACACCCAGAGCAAGAUAUAUCUAUGCUGACACAGAAAGGCAGUAAUGACUAUGCUGUGAACAACAAGACCACAAAACAUCCAUGCUGACACAGAAAGGCAGUAAUGACUUGGUUGUGAACACCCAGAGCAAGAUAUAUCCAUGCUGACACAGAAAGUUUGUAAUGACUAUGCUGUGAACACCCGGAGCACAAUACAUCCAUGCUGACACAGAAAGGCAGUAAUGACUUGGUUGUGAACACCCAGAGCACAAUACAUCCAUGCUGACACAGAAAGGCAGUAAUGACUUGGCUGUGAACACAGAACACAAUACACCCAUGCUGACACAAAAAGGCAGUAAUGACUUGGCUGUGAAAACAGAGCACAAUACAUUCAUGCUGAAACAGAAAGGCAGUCAUGACUAUGCUGUGAACACCCAGAGAACGAUAUAUUGAUGCUGACGCAGAAAAGCAGUAAUGAUUAUGCUGUGAACACCCAGAGCAAGAUAUAUCCAUGCUGACACAGAAAGGCAUUAAUGACUAUGCAGUGAACACCCAGAGCAAGAUAUAUCCAUGCUGACACAGAAAGGCAGUAAUGACUUGGUUGUGAACACCCAGAGCAAGAUAUAUCCAUGCUGACACAGAAAGGCAGUAAUGAUUGGCUGUGAACACAGAACACGAUACACCCAUGCUGACACAGAAAGGCAGUGAUGACUUGGCUGUGAACACAGAACACGAUACACCCAUGCUGACACAGAAAGGCAGUAAUGACUUGGCUGUGAACACAGAACACAAUACAUCCAUGCUGACACAGAAAGGCAGUAAUGACUUGGCUGUGAACACAGACCACAAUACAUCCAUGCUGACACAGAAAGGCAGUUAUGACUUGGUUGUGAACACAGAGCACAAUACAUCCUUGUUGACACAGAAAGGUAGUUAUGACUUGGUUGUGAACACAGAGCACAAUACAUCCUUGUUGACACAGAAAGGUAGUUAUGACUUUGCUGUGAACUCAGAGCACGAUACAUCCAUGCUGACACAGAAAGGCAGUUAUGACUUGGAUGUAAAUACCCAGAGCACAAUACAUCCAUGCUGACACAGAAAGGCAGUAAAGACUUUGUUGUAAACACUAAGAGAUCCAUAUAUCCAUGGGGUAUGCCACAGACGCAAAUUACGCCCACUAUUGUGAACAAGGUGCUUAAAGUGAACAUGUUUGGUUUUGUUAUGAGCACUUAGCACUCCGAGCCCAAAAGGCCUCGCAUUGAAUUGAUGCAAGAAAAGGCUUUGAAAAAUAACAGCAGUUUUGUUGUGUGGUCCAGUACGCCCUUUGACUUGCAACCUGAAUAAAGCAGAACUCAAACUCAGCUCUUAGCAAUAUCAGCAAGAUCAGCAUGUCAUCUUAGCUUCUUGAGCACAGCAAACAUGACAAACGUCAUUGAAGUGAAAGUCGAUGACAACCUCCUUCUUGCACAAAUACUACAACUCGCUUAAGAAAUUCAGCACGAAGACAUAUUGCGUCAGACUACCAAGCCUCCUAUCAAUAUCUCCUCCCAUGUUGGCUACAUCAACACUUCCAACAGCAGAGCCUUGGUGAGUUUGACUUCCAUCUCAGCAUCGAUGUCGCUUAGCAACAAUUGGAUGAUGGGCGUCAACAAAUUAGGCCGAAGAAGUCGCUCGAACUGAAACGAUCUGAUCCAACAGGUAGAGCAGGCAUUGCGUGACACGUCUGUUAAUGUGACUGACCUCGAUAUGUUGUUCUCGAAUAAUGUGAACCGUAGGCCUGGAGAGCAGUAUGCGAUUGACGCCAUUCAACAACAGUUGUUGUUGGCAGUUCUCGGGUUUGGGUGGCAACUUCGGCGUCGGGACUCGCUCCAUCUCUGUCUAUGGCCCAGUUGCAGCAGCAGCAGCAACAAUAACAAUAAGUAGUAUCUUAGCGGUGUUCUGGGAUAUGGGGCUUCAUGUAUGUGCUUGAAUUGUCAUCCCAGAUUAGCCUGUGCAGACUGCACAUACAUUAAGUCAUAUUAAAUUGUCAUCCCAGAUUAGCCUGUGCAGACUGCACAUACAUUAAGUCAUAUUAAAUUGUCAUCCCAGAUUAGCCCGUGCAGACUUCACAAACAUUAAGUACUAUUAAAUUGUCAUCCCACAUUAGCCUGUGCAGACUUCACAUACAUUAAGCCCUAUUAAAGUGUCAUCCCAGUUUAGUCUGUGCAGACUGCACAUACAUUAAGUCCUAUUAAAUUGUCAUCCCAGAUUAGCCUGUGCAGUUUUUGUACCCCCACUAAACGAAGUUUAGGGGGGUAUGUAGGAGUGAGCUUGUCUUUUGGUCAGUCAGUCUGUCGGUCGGUCAGUCUGUCCGUGUCCGCUCUCUAAUUUAAGUUGUUUUUAUCCAAUCUUCACCAAACUUGGUCAGAAGUUGUAUCUAGAUGAUGUCUAGGUCAAGUUUGAAUAUGGGUCAUGCCGGGUCAAAAACUAGAUCACGGGGUCACUAAGUGCGUUUUAUACAUUCAGCAUGUUGUCCACUCUCUAAUUCAAGUAGUUUUCAUCAGAGCUUCACCAAACUUGGUCAGAAGUUGUGUCUAGAUGAUGUCAAGGCCAAGUUCGAACAUGGGUCAUGCCGGGUCAAAAACCAGUCACUGGGUCACCUAGUGCGUUUUAAAUAUUGAGCAUGGUGUCCGCUCUUUAAUUGAAGUAGUUUUCAUCCAAUCUUCACCAAACUUGGUCAGACGUUGUAUGUAGAUGAUGUCUAGGUCAAGUUCGAAUAUGGAUCAUGCCGGGUCAAAAACUAGGUCACGGGGUUACAUACUGCGUUUUAAACAUUGAACAUGGUGUCCACUCUCUAGCUCAAGUAGUUUUCAUUUUUAUUUGAUCAAACAUGGUAAAUAAAUAUCAAAUAAAAGUUUAUCUUAUAUCAGAUUUAAUCAUAGGUCAGGGCAUAGUUUUGUCUAUUGUUUGGCUAAAUUUUUGCCCCUGACCCAAAGUUUCUCCUUGCAAUAAAAAAUCCGCUUUAAUUUAAUAGAACUUUUAAAUUUUAUUCAAUUUUCGUAAAACAAUUAUUUAAAUGUCUUUAGCACAUUAUGCAAGUAUUCUCUUCAUUUAUUUUCAAUAUUUAUUGAAAUUCCUGGAUUUUGUUUUAAAAGCCGGUUCCUACAUUACCCCAUGCAAUCAUAGAUCGAUAACCAGCUGAACAACAGGCUGUCUGGUCAGCUGGGCCCAGACUUCCAGUGACACUUCCUGGGCAUGGGGAUGAUUGACUCUUGAUCCAGGAUCUUAGGGCAAGAGCUCUCGUGUUUGGGUUAUAUAUAUAUUGAUAGGGCAUAGUUUUGUCUAUUUGUCUGCUUAAAUUCAGCCCCUAAACCAAAUGUUUCUGCUUGCAUAAAAAUCCGUUUAAUAGAAUUGUUAAAUAUUAUUUAAUUUGAGUAAUUAUUAAAAUGCCUUCAGCACAUUAUACACAUAUUCUCUUCCAAUUUGCAAUAUUUAUUUAAAUUCAUGGAUUUUGUUUUAAGAGUCGUUUCUUACAGGACUUCAUAAUAGCCGUCUUGUUGUAUUGCCUUGAAAGGGCGCAGGGGGGUUGUAUAGAUUUGCCCUUGUCUGUAAAUCUCUCUGUCCUUCCUUCCAUCCUUUCUUACAUCCGUCCCACUUUUUUAUUGUUGCUCAUAACUAAAUAAAUAUUGGUUUCAGAGGGUUGAAAUAUGUGUGUAUCAAUUGUACAUUUUAUAUAGUAGGUUAUGUUUGUAUCAAGUGUUUAGUGUAUAUCCCAUUUGUAUCAAGAGCCUUUAUCACAGUGUAUUUCAUUUAUUAUUUAAUCAAACAAAAUUGAUUGACUUCCAAUAUAACUGAUACCAUUUCAGAAUGCAUCGAAUUAUUCGGUUUACAGGAACUCAUUUGUAGGACGGUCCUUAUCAUCACAAGGUGAGGCCCAGAGAAUGAUGUUAACCAAUUCGGACUCAGCCACUAAAUCUCAAUAGGUUGAGCAUCCUAGGGUGCCUAGAAAUUAAUUCCUCCACUAUGACCUUGUCCUUACCCCAGCACUCACCUUUCGGUCAGGUUGGAGGUCACAUCGGCCUGGGUGGUCAUGGCAAAAUCUUGAUAGCAGAGCGUUGAGUUUGGUCUGGAAGCAUUUGCUGUCACAGCUCUAUGGUGCAGGACCAUCAGUCUAUGAACAUCUUGCAGAGCGAUCCUUUGAUGCCAAUUGACACAAUCAAACACCAAUCCCCAACCCCAAACACAGCCUGUUGUAGCAGCUGUUACCAUAUUGACCCAGGUCAACCCUAAGAAGCUUGGAUACAGAUACUGUUUUAUAAAUGCUAGUCUCUUCGUACUUUGUGGUCUGUUAAGCACUAACUCUAACAAGUCUCUUCUUUGAAUUGUGUGGCGGGUGGACAAUGAAUUACCUUGUUCAGAUUGAAAUGGCAGAAUGACAAAUCACAACAAUUUCAGUGGAAAGCCAGAAAGUCAUGUGGCCAGCCACGUUUUUUAUUUGACCAGUCAAGGUGUGUUAUGUGACCAGUCAAGGUGUGUUAUGUGACCAGCCAAGAUGUGUUCAAAGAAAAACAUUAUUACAUGUAUCAUGAGAACUAUGAUGCUGUCAGUCAUUUAAUGUUAAAGGCUUUGGUUAAAUAUAGUAUGUAAAGUUGUAUUAUAAGCACACAUAUUACUUCAUCUGUAUUAUGAAACUUUCACUACAGAUUUUGAUACUGAUUAUGAUAAAUGCAUGGGAAAAAAUACCCUAGAUUUUUUGUAAAUGAUUUUAAGAUUGUCAAAUCUGUUCAAAUGAUGCAGGUCACUUGAGCAAAAUUGGGGAAAAGGCAUUAAUUGCAUGUAAUAAGGCAGUUUCAGGUUUAUAAGCUUUUACAAGUAAUAAAAAUGUGCUUUUUAAAAGAAUUGUUCAGAAAGGUUGAAUUUUUAACGCUUCAGUUUUGAUCGGUCUAUUAAUUUUCUGAAUACAAUACUCAACAGUUUACUCUAUCAGGUCGCUUUUUUAUCGAGAAUCUUGCUUAUUGUCGUACUUUUUCAAGAGAAUAUUUACAAAUUGUUGGCAAAAUUGUCAAUUCUGUAUUUACUACCAUUACUUUAUUGAAUUGAAUGGAUAUGGUUUGUUACUGAAGUAGAAAAUGACCCUUGCGUUAUUUGAGAUCCUUUAAAUGAAAAUGAGAAAUUAAACAAAGAGUUAAUAAAUUAGUGUUAUGAAUCGUUGCAAACGUUAUUAUUGUUAAUUUGUGUUCAUAGAUCAUAUGCUUGCAUACUCAUAAGUGUUCACAUUCGUUGUUGGAUAAUAUAACUUAUUAUCCUUUAUAUUUUUGUAUACACAUUUAGAGCACCAGAUUGUAUCAUCUUGAAUCAGUGAGUAACUUAACCUAAAUUUCUUGAUCACUGUAUGUGGGUAUAUUAUGCCAUCUAUAUAUAGAUCACCUGCAAACAAUUGUAUCUUUGAUGUAAAUUUUUCAUUUAUUUUCGUCAUGUUUAUUAGAAAAAGUCACUUUGUUCAUUCAUUUGUACAAACCAUUACUAUUAAAAUACAUUAAUUGUGUGAUUGCUUAUGUUUGUAUUAAAGAGUUUCAGUAAUGCAGCAUAACAUAUUUCGAAGAGACAAAUAUACAAAGUGAUAUAGAAACACCUUGUUAUAUUCUAUUUGCUAAAAAUAAAUUUGAUAACAACUUAAAAUGUGUUUACUUUUAGUUUUUAUUAUCUUAAGAAAAAUUCAUACCUCGAUAUUUGAAAUCAGUCACUUACAAAUAAAGGUGGAUCAAUGUCAUAUGUUAACAGCUGUCAAGAAUACAAUUGUCUCUAUUGGUAAUAUAUGAGAGCAAUAUUAUUUGCUAAAGAAAUACGUGUCCUUUGAUAGAUGAUAUCUGUGUACACAACUGAACAUAACAAAGUAAACACAUACAGAAUUUCAAGUAAAGUAAAAGUCUACAAGGAUUUUGUGGAAUAAACCAAUUAAAAAUAUAGGCAAAAUGCAUCAACAUUGACAUUUAUUAAAAUCUAUUAAAUUUGGAUGAUUAUUCAGUGCGUAAAAUUAUGUAAUUGUUAGAAGUGAAUGUUCUGCCUAAAAUUAAUCUUUAUGACAUAUUUAUAUUUCAACGAUGAUAUUAUACGUGUACUUGUAUUAUAGUUGAUUUAUAGUUUAUAAUGAAUAGUAAAAUUGUUUUAGUUUUAUCACAGUUUGUUACACGUUGAACCUUCCACAUAAGAUAUCAGUGGAGCGCCUUCACAGGGGCCAGUGGCUAAGGUGUGGCUGUUUAUGUUAAGCUUUUAUUGAAUGCAUGAAACAUAUUUGUUUUGUUGUUAAACAGCUGAAAAUUACUUUGUGUUUUAAAAUUGUUUGACAUGCUUUAUGUAUACCAUAUUGAUAUAUAGAACACACAAUAAACAUUUUGCGAUAA